AUACGUAGGUGGCAAGCGUUAUCCGGAUUUACUGGGUGUAAAGGGCGUGUAGGCGGGUCUGCAAGUCAGAUGUGAAAUCUCCGGGCUUAACUCGGAAGUGUCAUCUGAAACUACGGAUCUUGAGUACUGGAGAGGAUAGUGGAAUUCCUAGUGUAGCGGUAAAAUGCGUAGAUAUUAGGAGGAACACCAGUGGCGAAGGCGGCUAUCUGGACAGUAACUGACGCUGAGGCGCGAAAGCGUGGGGAGCGAACAGGAUUAGAUACCCUGGUAGUCCACGCUGUAAACGAUGAUUACUAGGUGUAGGGGGUAUCGACUCCCUCUGUGCCGCAGUUAACACAGUAAGCAUUCCGCCUGGGGAGUACGGUCGCAAGAUUAAAACUCAAAUGAAUUGACGGGG
rnacentral:rRNA from 1 species